rnacentral:sRNA from 1 species
ACGUCAAGAUAAUGAGGCGUUCAUCCUGAUUAAAUCAGGCACUGAACGGGGAGUAAACCAUCGCCGUGCCUGGCAUGCACGUAGCGAACUCCUGCAAUAACUUACCUCAAUGCUGUCUCUGCUACACAUUAUCUGACG